UUCUGGUUUCGUUCUGGCUUCCUUGCUUCCUUCCUUCCUGUCCCCGUCCCCGUCCCUGUCCCUGUCCCUGUCCCUGUCCCUGUCUCUCCUUCCCUCGUUCUCUCUUGCUUUAUGGACCCCACCUGAGGCGAGCGUCGGUCGCCCGCCCUCGAGGGUCGGCCAGCCACAGAGGGUGCCAAGCUGGCCCCAGCGACCCAGACAGACCUUUUCCCCAGGGAGCCUGGAGGGACCUCCGGGAGGUCUUUCCUGCUCUCGUGCUACCGGCCUGCGAUGGCCCGAGCUGGCUCGAGAGCAGCUCUUCAUACCAGGUGUUUGGCCAGAACCAAAGCGGCUCACAGGGAAAGCCAAAGGCGGAGGUUCAGGAGACCUCCUGGGAGAAGGCACACCGGGGGGCGCGGCGGCUCACCCCGCUCUCACCUCUGUCCCGCCUUCCCUGCACGACGCGCAGUCACCCGACCCGGGCCCCAAAGCCCAGGUCGGGAUGGGGCUUCCCUAUUCCCAGCUCAAC
rnacentral:lncRNA from 1 species